CGUUUAGAUUCAAUAUGUCAUUGUAUCCCAUAUUGCAAGGCUCUAAUUAGAUACCCGAGAGGGUGAUUCCAUGGGAGUCUUUCGCUCAGGGCGUCGACUUACAAAAUGGAUAUGUAAAGUGGUCUUCAA